UACGAAGGGGGCUAGCGUUGCUCGGAAUCACUGGGCGUAAAGCGCACGUAGGCGGACUCUUAAGUCGGGGGUGAAAUCCUGGAGCUCAACUCCAGAACUGCCUUCGAUACUGAGAGCCUUGAGUCCGGGAGAGGUGAGUGGAACUGCGAGUGUAGAGGUGAAAUUCGUAGAUAUUCGCAAGAACACCAGUGGCGAAGGCGGCUCACUGGCCCGGUACUGACGCUGAGGUGCGAAAGCGUGGGGAGCAAAC
rnacentral:rRNA from 1 species